AGAGUUUGAUCCUGGCUCAGGACGAACGCUGGCGGCACGCUUAACACAUGCAAGUCGAACGAGAGAAGAGGAGCUUGCUUUUCUGAUCUAGUGGCGGACGGGUGAGUAACACGUGAGCAAUCUGCCUUUCAGAGGGGGAUACCGAUUGGAAACGAUCGUUAAUACCGCAUAACAUAAUUGAACCGCAUGAUUUGAUUAUCAAAGAUUUAUCGCUGAAAGAUGAGCUCGCGUCUGAUUAGCUAGUUGGUAAGGUAACGGCUUACCAAGGCGACGAUCAGUAGCCGGACUGAGAGGUUGAUCGGCCACAUUGGGACUGAGACACGGCCCAGACUCCUGCGGGAGGCAGCAGUGGGGAAUAUUGCACAAUGGAGGAAACUCUGAUGCAGCGAUGCCGCGUGAGGGAAGAAGGUUUUAGGAUUGUAAACCUCUGUCUUCAGGGACGAAAAAAGACGGUACCUGAGGAGGAAGCUCCGGCUAACUACGUGCCAGCAGCCGCGGUAAUACGUAGGGAGCGAGCGUUGUCCGGAAUUACUGGGUGUAAAGGGAGCGUAGGCGGGAUCGCAAGUCAGGUGUGAAAACUAUGGGCUUAACCCAUAAACUGCAUUUGAAACUGUGGUUCUUGAGUGAAGUAGAGGUAAGCGGAAUUCCUAGUGUAGCGGUGAAAUGCGUAGAUAUUAGGAGGAACAUCAGUGGCGAAGGCGGCUUACUGGGCUUUAACUGACGCUGAGGCUCGAAAGCGUGGGGAGCAAACAGGAUUAGAUACCCUGGUAGUCCACGCCGUAAACGAUGAUUACUAGGUGUGGGGGGACUGACCCCUUCCGUGCCGCAGCAAACGCAAUAAGUAAUCCACCUGGGGAGUACGACCGCAAGGUUGAAACUCAAAGGAAUUGACGGGGGCCCGCACAAGCAGUGGAGUAUGUGGAUUAAUUCGAAGCAACGCGAAGAACCUUACCAGGUCUUGACAUCGUAUGCAUAGCUCAGAGAUGAGUGAAAUCUCUUCGGAGACAUAUAGACAGGUGGUGCAUGGUUGUCGUCAGCUCGUGUCGUGAGAUGUUGGGUUAAGUCCCGCAACGAGCGCAACCCUUACUGUUAGUUGCUACGCAAGAGCACUCUAGCAGGACUGCCGUUGACAAAACGGAGGAAGGUGGGGAUGACGUCAAAUCAUCAUGCCCCUUAUGACCUGGGCCUCACACGUACUACAAUGGCUGUCAACAGAGGGAAGCAAAGCCGCGAGGUGGAGCGAACCCCUAAAAGCAGUCUUAGUUCGGAUUGUAGGCUGCAACCCGCCUACAUGAAGUCGGAAUUGCUAGUAAUCGCAGAUCAGCAUGCUGCGGUGAAUACGUUCCCGGGCCUUGUACACACCGCCCGUCACGCCAUGGGAGUCGGUAACACCCGAAGCCUGUAGUCUAACCGCAAGGAGGACGCAGUCGAAGGUGGGAUUAAUGUCUGGGGUGAAGUCGUAACAAGGUA
rnacentral:rRNA from 1 species